rnacentral:miRNA from 14 species
UCACGGAUGUUUGAGCAUGUGCU